rnacentral:rRNA from 1 species
UACGUAGGGUGCGAGCGUUAAUCGGAAUUACUGGGCGUAAAGCGUGCGCAGGCGGUUCGUUGUGUCGGCGGUGAAAGCCCCGGGCUUAAACUGGGAAUGGCCGUCGAAACUGGCGAACUGGAGUGUGGCAGAGGGGGGUGGAAUUCCGCGUGUAGCAGUGAAAUGCGUAGAGAUGCGGAGGAACACCGAUGGCGAAGGCAGCCCCCUGGGCUGACACUGACGCUCAGGCACGAAAGCGUGGGGAGCAAACAGG